GCUCCUCCCUUUGGGGGCUCAUGACGUCACGCGUGAAGUGAUAUCAUCCCGAGGGAAUUUGGAAGGAUGGGUCUCAGGCUGUUUGUUAAAUGGAGCUCCUCCUUUGGUUGGAAAAUGGCGGAGUAAGGCUUCGAGUGUUGGGCCCUGGAGGCCUGGGUUCGAAUCCCUGCUCAACCAUUAAGCCCAAUGGGUGACUUUAGUCAAGUCACACUCUCUCAGCCAUCCAUUCUGCCAUGCAGGAAUACACAGUCAAAGCACUCCUGGCAGAUGACCACUUGGCCUCUGUUUAAAAGCCUCCGAAGGAGGAGACUGCAUCACUCUCCAAGGAAGCUUAUUCCACUGCCAAAUUGGUCUCAGAAACCUCCUCCUAAUGUUGGAGUGGCAUCCCUGUCCCUUGAAUCCAUUGCUCCCUGCUCUCUUCUCUGGAGCUGCAGAAAAAAAGCUCGCUCCAUCUUCUUCGUGUCAAAAGGUUCCUUCUAAUGUUCAAUCCAGAUACACAUUCCUGGAACCUAAAACCAUGACACCUAUCUACCCUCUGAGGCAGCAGAAAACAAGCCGGCACCAUCCUCUCGGCGGCAGUUUUCUUUGCUCACAGACCGGCCGGCGUGUUGAAAUAUUUAUGCCAGCGUUGGCUGGGGUCUCUCUGGACCAGUUGCCAUGGAUGCCAAGGUGAGAGACGCCUCAGUCUCCCUUUGCGUUUCAAGAGAGAAGCCUAUGGCCCCCUGAGCCAGUGACUCUGCAUUUUGGCUGCAAAUGAUGUGCUUUCCAGAUAAAGAGACAGCAUGCUUUUUGCCCUAAAAAAAGGUCAGCAACCCUGCAGACAUAAAAGCAGUGUCUCAGGCCUCACUAGGUUUCUAGGACCAGGGAAUAGAUGGUUAUGCAGAUGAACCUAUUGCCAGAUUUGGUGUGGUCCAGGCACCAGUUUACCAACUCAAGGAAAGAAGCAGGGUCAAACCUGAAAGAAAGGAUGGUUUCAAAGAGGGCAGCACCUCUUAAUGGACACUUAGUGGCCAGUACCAUUGCUGGCGAGAACUUUCUGAUUUCAAUGAAGCAGAAAAGACAGAAAUAUUUGGGACCAGAAGUUAAUUUCAACUUUGCAGAAGGAAAUGUAAGAGACGUUUGCCGCCAUAUAUGCUUGCCUUUGGCUCAGAGAAGUUCUUCUCAAAGCAAGCAGUGAGUCGAUUUAGCUGUUUCCUUCCCGCUGCGAGAAAGUCUUCCAAAACUGUGCCUUUUCCAAAGUCAAUUUGCAAUUCCAGGCUUUCAUUAUAUUUUGCAAUAACAUCUUAUAUGUAACCUUCCAUAUGUGUUUUAAUUUGUAAGCUGCCCAUUUCUGGGAUACAAAUAAAUAGCACAGUUAAUGUA